rnacentral:rRNA from 1 species
GAUGAACGCUGGCGGCGUGCCUAACACAUGCAAGUCGAGCGAAGCACUUUGCUUAGAUUCUUCGGAUGAAGAGGAUUGUGACUGAGCGGCGGACGGGUGAGUAACGCGUGGGUAACCUGCCUCAUACAGGGGGAUAACAGUUAGACAUGACUGCUAAUACCGCAUAAGACCACAGCACCGCAUGGUGCGGGGGUAAAAACUCCGGUGGUAUGGGAUGGACCCGCGUCUGAUUAGCUAGUUGGUAAGGUAACGGCUUACCAAGGCGACGAUCAGUAGCCGACCUGAGAGGGUGACCGGCCACAUUGGGACUGAGACACGGCCCAAACUCCUACGGGAGGCAGCAGUGGGGAAUAUUGCACAAUGGGGGAAACCCUGAUGCAGCGACGCCGCGUGAGCGAAGAAGUAUUUCGGUAUGUAAAGCUCUAUCAGCAGGGAAGAAAAUGACGGUACCUGACUAAGAAGCACCGGCUAAAUACGUGCCAGCAGCCGCGGUAAUACGUAUGGUGCAAGCGUUAUCCGGAUUUACUGGGUGUAAAGGGAGCGUAGACGGAUGGGCAAGUCUGAUGUGAAAACCCGGGGCUCAACCCCGGGACUGCAUUGGAAACUGUUCAUCUAGAGUGCUGGAGAGGUAAGUGGAAUUCCUAGUGUAGCGGUGAAAUGCGUAGAUAUUAGGAGGAACACCAGUGGCGAAGGCGGCUUACUGGACAGUAACUGACGUUGAGGCUCGAAAGCGUGGGGAGCAAACAGG